AACGCACAUUGCGCCCCUUGGUAUUCCAUGGGGCAUGCCUGUUCGAGCGUCAUCUGAACCCUCAAGCCCUCUGGCACCGCCUCGCGGAGCCUGGCUUGGUGAUGGGCGUUUGUCCGCGCUCCCCGCGCGGACUCGCCCCAAAUGCAUUGGCAGCGGCCCCCGGCUCCGAGCGCAGCACAUUGCGCAGUGGAGCGUGGCGUGGCGCGCUUCCAGAAGCGAACCCCCAAGUUUGACCUCGGAUCAGGUAGGGAUACCCGCUGAACUUAA
rnacentral:misc_RNA from 1 species